rnacentral:rRNA from 1 species
UACUUGGUUGAUCCUGCUAGUAGUCAUAUGAUUCUAUCAAAGAUUAAUCCAUGCAUGUAUAAGUAUGAACUAAUUCAAACUGUGAAAUUGUGGAUGGCUCAUUAAAUAAAUUGUAGUUUCUUUGAUGGUACCCUAUUACUCGAAUAACCAUAUUAAUUCUAGAGCUAAUAGGUGCACCAAGUCCCAACUAUUUGGAAGGGAUGCAUUUAUUAGAUAAAAUUUCAAUGUGAGCUCGCCUGCUUCUUCAGUGAAUCAUGAUAACCCGAUGGAUCGCACAAGCCUUGUGUUGGCGAUGCUUCAUUCAAAUUUAUUCCCUAUCAAAUUUCAAUGGUAAGAUAGAGGUCUACCAUGGUGGUGAUAGGUGACGAAGAAUUAGGGUUCGAUUCCAAAGAGGGAGCCUAAGAAAUGACUACCACAUACAAGGAAGGAAAUAGGUGCGCAAAUUACCCAAUCCUAACAUGGGAGGUAGUGAAAAUAAAUAACAAUAUUGGGAUCAUCAAGUUUGGUAAUUGGAAUGAGUAUAAUCUAAAUCCCUUAACGAGGAUCCAUUGGAGGGAAAGUUUGGUGCCACCAUUCAUGGUAAUUCCAACUCUAAUAGAAUAUAUUUAAUUUGUUACGGUUAAAAAUAUCGUAGUUGGAUCUUGGGUCGUAAAGGUUGGUCCACCUACUUGGUGUGCACCUUCCCUUCUGUUCCUUUUUCUAGUGGUGUGCUCCUGGCCUUAAGUGGUUGGGUUGUGGUUGUGGUAUUGUUACAUUGAAAAAAAUGGAUUUCUCAAAGAAAUCUUAUGCUUUGAAUACAUUAACAUGGAAUAACACUAUAGGAGUCUGGUCCUAUUGUGUUGGCCUUCCGGACCGGAGUAACGAUUAAUAUGGAUUGUCGGGGGCAUUCUUAUUUCAUUGUCAGAGGUGAAAUUCUUGGAUUUAUGAAAGAUGAACCAUUAUGAAAUCAUUUUCCAAGGAUGUUUUCAUUAAUCAAGAAUGAAAUUUGGGGGCUCGAAGACAAUCAAAUACCGUCCUAGUCUCAACCAUAAAUGAUGUUGACCAGGGAUCGAUGGAUGUUUAUUUAAGGAAUCUUCCAUCAACUUCUAAGAAAGAAGAGUGUUUGAGGUUAGGGUGGUUGUAUUCCAUUGUGUACGGACCAAGG